ensembl:lncRNA
GUAAAGAAUCUGCCUGCCAAAGUGGGAGACACAAGAGGCGAGGCCACCAGGGAGACCUGUAAAACGGGCACAGGGCUAUCAGCGUCCUUACACGACUGCCGUGAGGAGGACUACAACCCUGCCUGGUCCAGACUUCUUCCCGAUCACAAAAUUGCCACCUGCUCAUGGCAAAAACAAACAAAUCAGGCACCAUCAGAGAUGUGGAACAGAGAAAGUCCAUGGGAAACGAGAAAGUAGAAGUGCCCCCACAGUCUCCAGCCAGGAGGUGACUACCUGGAAGUCACAACAGACAGCUGCGCACACUCCCCCAACCAGCGCAGGCCAGCGCCAGCUUCAGGAUCAGGGCGGCUGGCUUCAGAUCCCUCUGCCACAGGCAGCUGACCUCUCUGGGCGCACUGUUUUGUAAAGUGGACUUGAUCAGAGAGAUCUACCCCAUAAGUUUGCUGGAGGAAUUAACGAACGAAUGAAAAGCAUCUCCAUAAAUGACUGAAAAUAGGCAGAGACGUUGCCCUAGCCUGGACCAUUUUGCUGAUGAGGAAACCAAG